rnacentral:rRNA from 1 species
CCUACGGGAGGCAGCAGUAGGGAAUAUUGCUCAAUGGGGGAAACCCUGAAGCAGCAACGCCGCGUGGAGGAUGAAGGUUUUCGGAUUGUUAACUCCUUUUGUUAGAGAAGAUAAUGACGGUAUCUAACGAAUAAGCACCGGCUAACUCCGUGCCAGCAGCCGCGGUAAUACGGAGGGUGCAAGCGUUACUCGGAAUCACUGGGCGUAAAGAGCGCGUAGGCGGGAUAGCAAGUCAGAUGUGAAAUCCUAUGGCUUAACCAUAGGACUGCAUUUGAAACUGUUAUUCUAGAGUAUGGGAGAGGUAGGUGGAAUGCGUGGUGUAGGGGUGAAAUGCAUAGAGAGCAAG